UUUAUUCAAAAACAUGGCCUUUUGAGUUAUAUUGAGAAGAGGUCUGGCCUGCCCGGUGGAGAAGUCUCUAAACGGUCGCAGCUGCCACUGUGCGAAGGUAGCAUAAUAGGUCGUCCUUUAAUUGGGGGAAAGUAUGAAUGGUCGGAUGUUGGAAAUUCUUUAUUAAGAGUAGGUGUUAAAUUUUACUUUUUAGUGCAAAGGCUAAGAUAAUAUUAUUAGACGAGAAGACCCUGUUGAGCUUGGUAAAAUCAGCCCGAGUCGGGCUGAAAUAGAUUUUUUCGGGGCUGAAAGGAAGGGAUAGGAAUGCCUUCUAUUUUAGGGUUUAGAUCCAGCAAGGCUGAUAUGUAGAAGAUAGCUACCACAGGGAUAACAGCGCAAUCUUCCUGACAAGGCCAUAUUUAAGGGAUGGUUUGCGACCUCGAUGUUGAAUCAGAAUUUCUGCCGGGUGUAGCAGCUCGGUUAGUGGGACUGUUCGUCCUUUAAAAUUCUACGUGAUCUG
rnacentral:rRNA from 1 species